GAUGAACGCUGGCGGCGUGCCUAAUACAUGCAAGUCGAGCGAACGGACGAGAAGCUUGCUUCUCUGAUGUUAGCGGCGGACGGGUGAGUAACACGUGGAUAACCUACCUAUAAGACUGGGAUAACUUCGAGAAACCGGAGCUAAUACCGGAUGAUAUUUUGAACCGCAUGGUUCAAAAGUGAAAGACGGUCUUGCUGUCACUUAUAGAUGGAUCCGCGCUGCAUUAGCUAGUUGGUAAGGUAACGGCUUACCAAGGCAACGAUGCAUAGCCGACCUGAGAGGGUGAUCGGCCACACUGGAACUGAGACACGGUCCAGACUCCUACGGGAGGCAGCAGUAGGGAAUCUUCCGCAAUGGGCGAAAGCCUGACGGAGCAACGCCGCGUGAGUGAUGAAGGUCUUCGGAUCGUAAAACUCUGUUAUUAGGGAAGAACAUAUGUGUAAGUAACUGUGCACAUCUUGACGGCACCUAAUCAGAAAGCCACGGCUAACUACGUG
rnacentral:rRNA from 1 species